GCGCAGCAGUCGAGAAAACUUUACAAUGCGGGAAACCGUGAUAAGGGAACCUCGAGUGCUGGCGCAUAGCGUCGGCUGUCCAGAUGCCUAAAAAAGCAUCUGAUAGCAAGGGCCGGGCAAGACCGGUGCCAGCCGCCGCGGUAACACCGGCGGCUCGAGUGGUGGCCACGUUUAUUGGGUCUAAAAGCGUCCGUAGCCGGCUCGGCAAGUCCCCUGGGAAAUCUGGCGGCUCAACCGUCAGGCGUCCAGAGGAUACUGCUGGGCUUGGGACCGGGAGAGGUGAGAGGUACCUCAGGGGUAGGGGUG
rnacentral:rRNA from 1 species